rnacentral:misc_RNA from 1 species
GUAUUUGGUUGGUUUUAGAUUGUUUUUGGAAGUGGGGUUUGGGAGAUGUUAGUUUUUUUUAGGAGUUGUAGGGUUUUUUUUAUGUAUUUUUUGUGGGGUAUUAAAGAUUUAGGGUUGGUUUUGGAGUUGGGUUUAAUGUAGGUUGUUUUGUUUAUUAAUUUUAUUAUUUUGGGUAAGUUUUUUUUGUUUUUUGGGUUUUUGU